ACAUGGUUAUAUUUUAAAUAGCCUAUUUAUAAUUUUAAUAUUUGGAAAAGUACAAUAUUUUGAAAAACAUUUUUAACAUUUACAAUGUACAAACCUUUGUCAAAUAUUAUUAACCAUUGCAAUAUUUAAAAUAUGUUGUUUAAUAUGGGUUAUGCUACUUUGGUUGAUUAGGCUGUUGUUCAUUACAUGAUACAUUAAUUGUAAGCUAGCUGUUUAUAAACUUGUUCAAGCUUGACGCCUUUAUUUUCUAAUAUACAUUUCUGAAAUUCCCACAAGGAUUUCAACAUCAUAUUUGAGAAAAAAAAACCGGAAAAAAAACACGUUUACUUGUGUUUAAAUUCAAACAACACAGACUAAACCCUGAUUGGUUCCAGAGCCAUUGAACGGCUCUGAUUGGUUCGUAUAAUAACGAGCUCGCAGCAGAGAGCUUCGUAAAUCAAAUAUGAUGUGCGUGCAAAUGUCUCUUGAAUGUGCAUAUAAGUCUAAAUUUAGACAGUGUUAUAUUAUAUAGAGCGAUCGUGUCUCUUUAGGGUGCUUGGAGGAAACCACGCAAUUCAUAUGGAUUACUUUGGCGAUGUUUUUUUGCGAUGAACUUUUUGAAAUGUGAACAUCUUUGAUGAAUCUUUUCAUCGGAGGAACAUAAAUCUCUCAGAUUUCAUUAAAAUAUCUCCGCUUUUCUUUCGAAGAUGAACGAAAGUCUUAGAUGGUUUGGAGCACCUUAAGGGUGAGUGAUGACAUAAUUCAAAUUGUUUUGGGGGAAUUAUGAAAUUAAUUAUAAAAUAUGUAAGGGAUAAUCAACGGCUAGCUGUGCAUUAAACGAUUUGAAUGCAGGACUUGGAGGCGAAGAACCGCCCGACGCGCAGCGGAGUGCAUUCAGAUCGUUUAAUGCACAGCUAGCCGUUGAUUAUCUCGUUUAUGUCAUGGUCAUUUACCAGCAUUCACAUAUUAAAGAUGUUAAUAAUAUUUGUGCUGCAAUAUUUGACCGGAACGAUAAAAAUGACGGUUAUUUUCAUCUGUAUUACUAUUCAACUGUAACUGUAUGUUACUAUGGUUACCAAUGUUUAUAGGAAGCGCAUUAAUAUAGAACGUGAUUAAACUGACCUGGAACUACCUGUGCAGUUCAACGAUUUUAAUCAACACCUGCCAGCCAAUCAGAAUCCAGUAUUCAGACAGACCAUGGCAUAAAGCGGUAUGUUCUUAUUGUUACCAGCUUCUGCGUCUGGCUUCAGAACCUCACUGUGACUUCAGGUAAGAUUUGUGUUUAAUUAACGUUAUUUGUCUGUACCAGUCAUGUUUUUGACACAUGCAUUGGCAGAAAAAAAAUAGUUAACAUUUUAUUUGCAACAUGAAGUAUAUUUAUUUCUGAUUUCCUGAACAAUUUGGCUUCAUUGUAAUGAGGUUAAUGAUCUUUGAAAAACCAUGAUUAUGAACAUACAAUUACUUUGUCUUGAGCUGAUUACCCAACUGUGGUAGUGUUGGUUGAUUGGUGUCUAUAUUUGUUCAAGCUUGACAACCUUAUGACUUUAUUUUCUAAUAUAUAUAUUUCUCAUUACAGAUAAGAACAAAGAUUAAAUUGUAAGAAGGGUUGCUUAUAAGAGCAUACAGUACAUCUGAAACUGCUGAGACUGAUCAGCUGCUAUAGAAGACAAACUGAAAUCUGAGUGCAGAGACGGGAAUACUGCAAGACACUACUGACUAGGCUGUGCCCAGGUCUCCGGAACCUGCAACGACACUCAGCUCCAUCGGCCCUUAGUCUGCGGCUUCGGAUCCACCAGCUCUGUCUCCAUCGGUCGGCCCCCAGAUGUCGGCAGCCACACCAUCUACACCAUCUACAUCUUGGCUCCUCCCUCCCUCGACUCCGCCGUGUGUUGUCAGCACUGGGAUGCUCUGGGUCUGUGCCAUGUGCCAAACACCAUCUAAGCUGCCAGGGCAUCAUCGUCAUCCUCUCAUCACCAUCCCUACACCAUCUCCUCGUCCACCUCCAAAACCCCUCCAUCCCUCCCUAUUCUGUUGCUUGAACUUUAUCAUCUUCAGUAUUUGC